AAAUCAGGCAUAGUAAGCUGUCUGCAACUUGACUGAUGUCUCACACAUACUUACUGAAAAGACUAAGUAUGAUGUUGGACUGUGGCACGUACAGGUAAAAUGAAUUCUUAAAGAAAUCAGAGGCAAGGGAAGUAUUGGCACAUAGACUUUUCUCUGCUUAUAGCCUUACUGACUGCUCUUGAUUUUUAGUAAAGAACAACAGCAUGCCUGGUGUGAGAAGUCUAUUUUGAGUGUGUCCCCAGUUUUCUUGAGAAACUAGAAAGACAAUACUGCAGUUAUCAGGAGGAAGCUUCAGGUGAGUCUACCUGUGAUUAUUUUACAUGUUUGAAGACCUCUGUAAGCCUCUGCAGAGCAGAAUGCAUUUAUUACACAGUGUAUGUCAUAAAUAGGACUAAUGUGUGACUGGUUUGUAAUUAAUAAUUAGUUGUUUUAUGCCAAAAAGUAAUACAGUACUUAAUGCAUAAUGUUUAAAAAAACUUGAGAAACACCACUAGAAGCUAUGGUACUUCAGGCAAAAUCCCUAACCAUAUUAAUAAAAUUUUGAAUUGAUAAACAGAAAGCUUUAAUACUGCUGUGUUAUUCUUAUAGAUAGCAUUAUAGAAAUUUAUUGCUGAUACUAUCAGUAUUGGCAGUAAUAUUGGUGAAUGCUCUUUUAAUUUGGAUAUGAGUUCAAAAAAGCCUGAGUGUUGAAUACAGAACGGUUCCUUGGUCAACUCAUCUAAAUUAUCGUUUGCAAGCUUGGAUUUCUGAUUGUAAAAUCUGGAAGAAGUAUUAUAUACAAAUUGAGGUAUUAUAGAAGAUAUAAACAAUAAGUGCUAUCCCCAAUUGUUUCAGAGGGUGCUGCCAUUUUGUUUCAAUCAGCUGUGUUCUGUGCUGUGUCAAGGACCACAAGGCACCUGACUGAAGAACAAUCUUGGGAUGGAGCAAAGUAUUCUGACAGUUUUAAGAGAACUGAUAUUUGUGGCUAUAGCUGCAAAUAUUUUGUUUUGUAGGUAGAGUUGACCUUGGUAGUUUAUCUUGUUUUUGCAAAGACUUGUUUUGCAAGCAGGUGUUCCACUUGAACUCUAUAUCGCACAUUGGCCAUGCAGGUACAGCAUGCAAGUGGAAAAAACCUUGCAGACCCUGGGGAGAAUAAAAGCAGGAGAGAGGCUGAGGUGAUGGAGAAAGGAAAAGUGCACUUGGAAGCAGGGAAUGCCCUGCUGGCAGCACCUAUCACAUCCACUGCCAUGUUCCCUCUGUCCUUGGUGGUUCGCCAUAUCUAAAGAGUAGCCUGCAGGUCUUCAGGGUGACCAGACAAGAAACAGUAACCACAGAACAGAGAGGCCGACCAACCAGAGAUCUUCCAAGAAUUUACUCAUCAAUGGCAAGCAAUCAUUGAUGCAGAUGUAGCUAUGGUAC